GACGAACGCUGGCGGCGUGCCUAAUACAUGCAAGUCGAACGCAGUGGGGACGGGUGAGUAACAAGUGGGUAACCUCCCAUCAGAGGGGAUAAAACUUGGCAACAGGUGCUAAACCGAUACUGAUGGAUGGACCCGGGGUGCAUUAGCUAGUUGGUGGGGUAACGGCGAACCAAGGCCACGAUGCAUAGCUGACCUGAGAGGAGGAGCGGCCACACUGGAACUGAGACACGGCCCAGACUCCUACGGGAGGCAGCAGUGGGGAAUCUUGGGCAAUGGACGAAAGUCUGACCGAGCCACGCCGCGUGAGUGAAGAAGGUUUUCGGAUCGUAAAGCUCUGUUGUUAGAGAAGCGUUAUCUAACCAGAAAGCCACGGCUAACUACGUGCCAGCCGCCGCGGUAAUUC
rnacentral:rRNA from 1 species